GACGAACGCUGGCGGCGUGCUUAACACAUGCAAGUCGAGCGGUAAGGCCCUUUCGGGGGUACACGAGCGGCGAACGGGUGAGUAACACGUGGGUGACCUGCCUUUAGCUCUGGGAUAAGCCUGGGAAACUGGGUCUAAUACCGGAUAUGACCCUAUGGCGCAUGUUGUGGGGUGGAAAGCCUUGUGCGGCCAGGGAUGGGCCCGCGGCCUAUCAGCUUGUUGGUGGGGUGAUGGCCUACCAAGGCGACGACGGGUAGCCGGCCUGAGAGGGCGACCGGCCACACUGGGACUGAGACACGGCCCAGACUCCUACGGGAGGCAGCAGUGGGGAAUCUUGCGCAAUGGGCGAAAGCCUGACGCAGCGACGCCGCGUGA
rnacentral:rRNA from 1 species